UGAUGACGUGCUCUGCCUCCAACAGAAGA
rnacentral:sRNA from 1 species